rnacentral:rRNA from 1 species
CCUACGGGUGGCAGCAGUGGGGAAUAUUGGGCAAUGGAGGCAACUCUGACCCAGCCAUGCCGCGUGAGUGAUGAAGGUAAUUUUAUUGUUAAGCCCUUUUCUUUGGAACGAAUAAAUGACGGUACCAACGGAAUAAGCUCCGGCUAACUACGUGCCAGCAGCCGCCGGAAUACGUAGGGGGCAAGCGUUGUUCGGAAUGACUGGGCGUAAAGGGUGUGUAGGUGGUUUGAUGAGUUAGAUGUGUAAUACCCAGGGCUUAACUCGGGUACUGCAUCUAAAACUGUUAGACUUGAGUACGGGAGAGGCUAGUGGAAUGCCUGGUGUAGCGGUGGAAUGCGUAGAUAUUAGGAGGAACAUCAGUGGCGAAGGCGACUAUCUGGACCGCAACUGACGCUGAGGCACGAAAGCGUGGGGAGCAAACAGGAUUAGAUACCCUGGUAGUC